UACUACAGUCAUGCCACUCUGAAUGUGCCCGAUCUCAUCUGAUCUCAGAAGCUAAGCUAGGCCAUACCCUGGUUAGUACUUGGAUGGGAGACCACCUAGAAAUACCAGGUGCUGUAGGCA
rnacentral:rRNA from 1 species